rnacentral:rRNA from 1 species
GAUGAACGCUGGCGGCGUGCCUAAUACAUGCAAGUCGAGCGAACAGACGAGGAGCUUGCUCCUCUGACGUUAGCGGCGGACGGGUGAGUAACACGUGGAUAACCUACCUAUAAGACUGGGUUAACUUCGGGAAACCGGAGCUAAUACCGGAUAAUAUAUUGAACCGCAUGGUUCAAUAGUGAAAGACGGUUUUGCUGUCACUUAUAGAUGGAUCCGCGCCGCAUUAGCUAGUUGGUAAGGUAACGGCUUACCAAGGCAACGAUGCGUAGCCGACCUGAGAGGGUGAUCGGCCACACUGGAACUGAGACACGGUCCAGACUCCUACGGGAGGCAGCAGUAGGGAAUCUUCCGCAAUGGGCGAAAGCCUGACGGAGCAACGCCGCGUGAGUGAUGAAGGUCUUCGGAUCGUAAAACUCUGUUAUUAGGAAAGAACAAAUGUGUAAGUAACUAUGCACGUCUUGACGGUACCUAAUCAGAAAGCCACGGCUAACUACGUG